AGAAUCAACACCUGUAACACUGUCAUGUGGUAAAUCAAGAUGGUCAACAACAACAAGUUCUAAACCUACUGAUGAUAUAGAAACAUCUUUCACAGAAAGUAUAACGACACCCGGUGAUGAAUCUAACCAAACAACAUCUGGUAAUGAAUCUAACCAAUCAACAUCCAGUGAUGAAUCUAGCCAAACAACAUCGGGUGAUGAAUCUAGCCAAACAACUUCCGGUGAUGAAUCUAGCCAAACAACAUCUGGUAAUGAAUCUAACCAACCAACAACACCAAUGUCUGCUAGUGAAUCUAUCCAACCAACAUCUGAUAUGGAAUCAACAACACCAACAUCUGGUGAUGAAUCUAGCCAACCAACAUAUGCUAGUGAAUCUAUUCAACCAACAUCUGAUAGCGAAUCUAACAAACCAACAACAACAACACCUGGUAGUGAAUCUAACCAACCAACAACACCAACAUCUAAGAAUGAUAACUCGAUGUCUGGUAUAAUUGGUGGAGCUGUAGGAGGAUUAAUGGUGAUAAUCAUCAUCAUUAUUAUCAUAGUAAUCUGUGUAAUACGUAAACGGAGAAAAGACAAGAAUUAUGAAAGUCCAGAAGCUGUAGAGAUUGAUCCUCAUCCUUACCAGAACAUUUCAGAUAACAGAUCAGGGGAAAUAACUCACCAACCUAAACAGAAUUAUGAAUUGGUUAAACCUAGCAACGGUAACCAAAGGAUGGAAUAUCUAGAAAAUGAUCUUUAUAUUGGUUCUGAUGAUGUUACUGAUGACGUGAUCGUUGAUGAUAAACUAAAACCUAGCAACGGUAACCAAGGGAUGGAAUAUCUAGAAAAUGAUCUUGAUAUUAGUUCUGAUGAUGCCACUGAUGACGUGGUGGUUGAUGAUAAACUAAAAGUAAAACUUCCGGUUGGGAAAUUUAAGUUGGGACCAAUGGGAGAUAAUUACGCUGUUGUUAAUAAAGGUGGGGAGAUGAUCAAUAAUGAUAAACGUAAUGAACAAUUUAAAAUAGGGCCAUGUGGAGAUAAAUACGCGGUUGUUAACAAAGAGAAAAAGAACAAUAAAGAAGCCGGGGAAGAAUUUAAAAUUGGACCAAGUGGAGAUGAAUAAGCCUGGGUUAAUAAAGAGGGGAGAACAACAAAUAAUUAAUCCACCAUGCAGUUAAUUGUUUAAACAUGUGAAAAAGAACUUUAACCUAUAUCAUCUUGUACAUAGUUUAAAGAUUGUCAGCAUAUUGUAUAUAAUGAUUUCAAGUAUAUAUUUACCUUCUAGUGAAAUACAGAUGUUAUGUUUCAUGUUAUAUUUAGAUUAACGUGAUAUAGAUUUUAUAUUUACAUUAACAUAACACAAGAGAAAUCUUAGCAAAAAUAACAUGGUUCAGUUACGUAAUGACGUGUUUUGGUUUAGUGACCUUUUUUCAAAAGCUACAAAUUCAUGCAACAUUAUUUAAACACGUCACCACGUCACCGUGCUUAAAGAUUCAAUCUGAUGUCUAGCUAAUAAAUUAUAAACUAUAGUCCUAUAUCAUUGUGUGAUAUGAUCGUCUUUAUUAAAAUUUAAACCACAUUUCAUUUCUAUCUGUGAUAACAUAUAUUGUAUUUUUAAACUAUGCCUAUCUUAUUGUUAACUACACUAUGUACUCAACUUUA